UUUUUCUUUAAGAAACUCAAACAAUUACAUUAAUGAAUCUAUUAUAAUGUGUUACUAUUCAACAACCACAAUUUUAAUAUAUACUCAUAAUAAACAAACUUAUCAAUCUAAGUUGGUACUAUGUCAAACCAUUUACAAUGAUAAAUACCAUACUAAACACUAGUAGAUUUAUUAGAUCAGCUAAGACUACAAAAGUAUCACUUGCUUCUCUUUUGCUUCUAGAGACUCCAUGUACUAUGAAUAUCUUGUCAUGCUCAUCUUCUAGAUUUGUUUGCUUGUCAUGAAGGAAAGAACCUUGGUAUUCUUCAGAAAAGGCAUUGUUCUUCAUUCUGCUAAGCUGGUUGUAUGUUGCUCAUUCUCCAACUCUUAUCAUAGUGUCUCACACCAACCAACCUUGGUAUGUUGCGGCUUGGACCCAUAUUAGCUUGCAGAAGACCACUUUGUCACCAUUUGCUGGUUGACAUGCCUGUAGUAAAAAAAAUAAAAAGUUACUAAUUUGAUUUUUUAUUUUUAAUUUAAUAAAAAAUAAAGAGUUUACGAGUUACCCACUUUAUCUCACUUUUAUUAGUCCACCAUAUUGAUUCUAAAAACACCAAUAUAAAAUAUCAAAUUUUGAAAAGUUACGAAUCAAACAUAAUAGUAAUCCUGACUCACUUUUAAUAUUUAAGCAACUCUAGUUCCUUCUAUUCUUAUUAUUAAUGGUAGAUUUUUUUUUAUCUAAAAAAGUAAAAUUUAUAAUUAUAAUAAAGUAUUUAGGAUAUUCUAAGCCUUUUAUGAUAUGUACAAUAUUGUAGGUAGACAAUAAUUUCAAAAUCCUUGCUUGCCAUAGGAUAAAAAUAUCCUUAUCUUGUAUGUGCUAAUAUUUUAUGGGUUUAAUAGUAUAUAUUAUAUGGGAAUCCUAAAUUUGAAAUAGCUUCUAGUUUAGAAAUGAGGUAGUGCUCAUUUUAUCUUGUCUCUUCAUUAACGUGAGAUGUCAUGACUUACUUGGAUUUACUAGUGACUUUUAGAAAAGCAAAUUACAAUGAUUAAAUGCUACUGUUAAAGUUUAUGGGUUAUGAGAUGUGGCGGGGACACCAUUUUAUCGGAUUAGUUUCAAGCUAUACAGAUUGUCUUUUUUACUAUUUGAAUUCAACAUGUAUUUUUCCUUUGGACUUCUAUAUUUAUAAUCCAACACUCUCACAAUUUAACUCUAACUCUGGCAAUUAUAACCUAUAUAGUGAAAAAGGUGGAUUUUAAGAUUGGGAGGACAGACAAUUGUCAAUUGGUUAAAAGGUAACUUUUAAGAUAUGUGGAAUUAUUCCAUGCAUCUAUGUUUGAGUUAAGAUGUCAGAGGAGAUUAAUUAUUACUGAUUUAUAAUGGAAAAUUUUAUCACCAAAUGCUUUGAUUAGAUUUCUUUUAAUAUUCUCAGCCAGGACAUGAGUUUCAAGCAAGGAAUUACCUCACUAUUUGGGAGCAGAUUGGCAUUUACGGGCACAAAAAGUUGAGCAUAUAUGGGACCAUCUUCAAUUUCUGCAAAUAAUUAGAAACAUCAUUUUGUCUUUAUAUAUUAAAGUGAUAAGUUUAAAAUAUACUUCACAUAAAACCCUUAAAAUAAAAAAGAUGAAAAUAUAAAAGAAAGAACUUAACGUUAUAUAAAUGUAAAAUUUACUCACAUUAUUUUGAUCAACUUCUUGGAUGAUUUCCUCAAAGCAUACAUUCUCAAUAAUAAAUUCUUCAUAGGCUUUUUGAAGCUCAUCUUGAGUGAUGUAUCUGCUUCCACUUCUAUCAUAAAAGAGCAAAAGUUGAAUCAAAGUUCAAAAUUAAAAAGUGCCUCUCCCUACUAUGGUCACACUCUAAACUAAAAGUAUAAGGCUACAUGACAGAAUGUGCAUGAGGCAACAUGACAGAAUGCCUCGCCCUGCUAUAGUCACACUCUAAACAAUUAAAAUCCUCUCUUCCACUAUUGAAACAUGUUUCCACUUCACUUCUGCAUCUCGACACAACCUUUGCUUCUAAUUCAAUCUUGAACUGAUUAUGUAUAACUUGAUUCCUUGCUUAUAAGUUACACUGACCUUGAUGUGGAUGAGAACCACAAUAGAUCAAAGUGUAAAAAAACACAACUUGUGACAAGGGUCAGGCAUAUAAAAUGGUUUAAAUCAGCUUAAUACGUACAAAUGGGUGGCUGCCAUGGUGAAGCAGCGGCCUUCAAAACAGAAAUUGGGAGAAAUUGAUACAAACCAAUCUUUCCCCAUUACAUAAUUCCAUGAACAUUCAUACAAUCAUUUCAUCAAAAACCUAGAGUGCAUUUAAGCUUCUCCUACGAAUUUCAUCAAACAUGUUCGUAGAGUUUGUUUCUCUUCACAUUUUAGGUAUUGUUAUAGAUUGGAUUAGUUUACAUAUCCACAUCUUAUACAUUCUCAUCAUCACUCUAUACAUAGCAUUUGCAUUUAAAAAUUAGAAUAGAACAAAACAAGAAACAUUCUUGCAUUUGUGAUUCAUUCAAUAAUAUUCUCAAUCACAAACGCAUAAAACAAAACAUACCUUAAAAGCCCUCUGAAUCUUCCCUAAACGCAACAUCGGUAGCACAAUGGAGAUCUCCUAAAAAUGCACCACAAGAAUCCCAUAAAACUUAACAAGUAUUAAGCGCCUGAAAAACUUAACAAGUGACAAUAUACCAAACUUUCUUCAUCAAAUCAAAUGCUACCUAAACCCUAGAGUUUUUAAACAUACAAGACAAAUCAGCAAAACCAAAAGAAACAGAGAAAAUAAAAAUAACCAACUUGAUAUUCGAUGAUAAUUCGAGAAAACAGAGAAAGAAUUUGAAGAAGCACAUAUCCUAACAGGAGCAGCGUAGAAAACGGGCUUGGAGCAUUCCAAUUUGAAGAAUUUGAAGAAGCACAAUUCCUUGUCGAGGCACAAGCAGUAGUUGCGACUGCCGCGAAUGAGGUUAAAGAUGGUGAGGCAGUUGUCACGAGCAACGGUGAGGGCGCACUCACCGGACGGGUGCAGAGCGAGGUCGUUCAUAGCGGCGUUCCGGUGGACGAAGAGCGUGGUAAGAUCGGCGAAGAUGAGGUUGCAGGGAAAAGGGAGAUUGAGAAGGGCAUAAAAGGAGAGGGCGGUGAUAGAGUCAGAGUGUUGGUUGAGGGAACCGAGGAAAGAGGCAGCGGAGAGGUCGUAGAGGUAGAUGGUGUCGUCGUCACACUCCUCGCUCUCCUUCCUAAAACCCUAGGGCUUUUUAACCACGGAGGCAAAUGAAAA
rnacentral:sRNA from 1 species